CCUACGGGAGGCAGCAGUGAGGGAUAUUGGUCAAUGGGGGAAACCCUGAACCAGCAACGCCGCGUGAGGGAAGACGGUUUUCGGAUUGUAAACCUCUGUCCUCUGUGAAGAUGAUGACGGUAGCAGAGGAGGAAGCUCCGGCUAACUACGUGCCAGCAGCCGCGGUAAUACGUAGGGAGCAAGCGUUGUCCGGAUUUACUGGGUGUAAAGGGAGCGUAGACGGUGCGCCAAGUCUGGAGUGAAAUGCCGCAGCUUAACUGCGGAACUGCUUUGGAAACUGGCGAACUAGAGUGCGGGAGGGGUAAGCGGAAUUCCUAGUGUAGCGGUGAAAUGCGUAGAUAUUAGGAGGAACACCGGUGGCGAAGGCGGCUUACUGGACCGUAACUGACGUUGAGGCUCGAAAGCGUGGGGAGCAAACAGGAUUAGAUACCCUUGUAGUC
rnacentral:rRNA from 1 species